GGGAUAUUGGUGUCUCUUCUUCUAUGCUGCGCAACAUUGAACAUCCUCCAGGCACUGCCUACUGAAGAGUUCCGCUACCUCGACAGAGACUAUGCCAGUCCCGGAGCUCAUCAGCUAGCAAGCUGGCUAGCGUCGCAGUUGCGUCCCAAAGAAAUAAUCACCCCCGUAGAAGUUCCUAUAAUCCCUUACAGACUUCCUCUGCAGGGAAAACGAAAUUCUGAAGUGACCAAUGCAAUCAUCGGGUCCGAAGAGACCCAGAAGAUGUAUCGCGAUGGCCGCUAAUUCACGAAUAAGGGUCUUGCAUGAAUAAUUAUAUAUCUAUAUGUGUACCUCUGCACCAGAUUGAGAAUAAAAGAAUUUCCUAAUA